CGUAAGCAACCUGCCUAUCAGAGGGGAACAACAGUUAGAAAUGACUGCUAAUACCGCAUAUACCUAAGCAUCGCAUGAUGCAAUAGGGAAAGGGAGCAAUCCGCUGAUAGAUGGGCUUGCGUCUGAUUAGAUAGUUGGUGAGGUAACGGCCUACCAAGUCGACGAUCGGUAGCCGGACUGAGAGGUUGAACGGCCACAUUGGGACUGAGAUACGGCCCAGACUCCUACGGAAGGCAGCAG
rnacentral:rRNA from 1 species